UUUGACCUCAAAUCAGGUAGGACUACCCGCUGAACUUAAGCAUAUCAAUAAGGCGGAGGAAG
rnacentral:rRNA from 1 species